rnacentral:rRNA from 1 species
CACGUAGGGUGCGAGCGUUGUCCGGAAUUAUUGGGCGUAAAGAGCUCGUAGGCGGUGUGUCGCGUCGGCCGUGAAAACCUGCAGCUUAACUGUGGGCUUGCGGUCGAUACGGGCAUCACUGGAGUUCGGCAGGGGAGACUGGAAUUCCUGGUGUAGCGGUGAAAUGCGCAGAUAUCAGGAGGAAUACCGGUGGCGAAGGCGGCAUCCUGGACCGGCAUUGACGCUGAGGAGCGAAAGCCAGGGGAGCAAACGGG